GACGAACGCUGGCGGCGCGCUUAACACAUGCAAGUCGAGCGGUAAGGCCCUUUCGGGGGUACACGAGCGGCGAACGGGUGAGUAACACGUGGGUGACCUGCCCUCAGCUCUGGGAUAAGCCUGGGAAACCGGGUCUAAUACUGGAUAUGACUCCAUGACGCAUGUUGUGGGGUGGAAAGCCUUGUGCGGCUGAGGAUGGGCCCGCGGCCUAUCAGCUUGUUGGUGGGGUGANGGCCUACCAAGGCGACGACGGGUAGCCGGCCUGAGAGGGCGACCGGCCACACUGGGACUGAGACACGGCCCAGACUCCUACGGGAGGCAGCAGUGGGGAAUCUUGCGCAAUGGGCGAAAGCCUGACGCAGCGACGCCGCGUGAGGGAUGACGGCCUCGG
rnacentral:rRNA from 1 species